rnacentral:rRNA from 1 species
UACAGAGGGUGCAAGCGUUGCUCGGAAUCAUUGGGCGUAAAGGGUAGGUAGGUGGUCUCAUUUGUCUGGGGUGAAAGCCCAGGGCUUAACCCUGGAAGUGCCCCGGAAACGGUGAGACUGGAGUCCUGGAGAGGGUCGUGGAAUUCCCGGUGUAGCGGUGAAAUGCGUAGAUAUCGAGAGGAACACCUGCGGCGAAGGCGGGUUGCUGGGCUGAUACUGACGCUGAUGCGCGAAAGCCAGGGGAGCGAACGGG